ACAUACGACCAUAGGCAAAGUUAUUUUCAGGAACCCGUUGGAUCUCCACUUGAUAAACCUUUGACCGGUGGCAUAGUAGGCAGCUGGGUGACCACUGGCGAAUCCCUACUGUUGUAUGUU
rnacentral:rRNA from 1 species